rnacentral:rRNA from 1 species
AAUGGGCGGAAGCCUGAUCCAGCAACGCCGCGUGAGGGAUGACUGCCUUCGGGUUGUAAACCUCUUUCAGAACCGACGAAGCGAAAGUGACGGUAGGUACAGAAGAAGCACCGGCCAACUACGUGCCAGCAGCCGCGGUAAUACGUAGGGUGCGAGCGUUGUCCGGAAUUAUUGGGCGUAAAGGGCUCGUAGGCGGUUUGUCGCGUCGGGAGUGAAAACUCAGGGCUUAACUCUGAGCUGGCUUCCGAUACGGGCAGACUAGAGGUAUGCAGGGGAGAACGGAAUUCCUGGUGUAGCGGUGAAAUGCGCAGAUAUCAGGAGGAACACCGGUGGCGAAGGCGGUUCUCUGGGCAUUACCUGACGCUGAGGAGCGAAAGUGUGGGGAGCGAACAGGAUUAGAUACCCUGGUAGUCCACACCGUAAACGUUGGGCGCUAGGUGUGGGAUCCAUUCCACGGGUUCCGUGCCGCAGCUAACGCAUUAAGCGCCCCGCCUGGGGAGUACGGCCGCAAGGCUAAAACUCAAAUGAAUUGACGGGG